rnacentral:rRNA from 1 species
UACAGAGGUCUCAAGCGUUGUUCGGAUUCAUUGGGCGUAAAGGGUGCGUAGGCGGCGCGGUAAGUCGGGUGUGAAAUCUCGGAGCUUAACUCCGAAACUGCAUUCGAUACUGCCGUGCUUGAGGACUGGAGAGGAGACUGGAAUUUACGGUGUAGCGGUGAAAUGCGUAGAUAUCGUAAGGAAGACCAGUGGCGAAGGCGGGUCUCUGGACAGUUCCUGAGGCUGAGGCCCGAGGCCAGGGGAGCAAACGGG